AGAACAUUAGCUCAGUCAGUUGAGCGUGGCGCUAACAACGCACCAAGGUUGUGGGUUCGAUUCCCGUUUGGUCCC
rnacentral:tRNA from 1 species